CUCAGGGAGUCACAUUCCUGAUCUGAAGUAACCCACAUGGGUUCACACUACUCUCUCAGAACCUGUAUUCCUUCGAUUUUCCUGGAAGCCUUUGGGAAGCCUCUGGGAGUUUCCAUUAGGCAGUCGGUAUGGAUUUCACUGAAAUACCACCCAUCAGUUGGGUUUUGUGUCUCAUCGCACUGGCAGAGAGAAGAGAACGGUAGCUGCUUUGAAGGUUGAAAGGAAGGCAAAGAGUGCAGGUGGAGAAACCAGGUGGCAGUGGUGGAGAGAGCAGUGCAGAGAGAAGGUCAUGGUAGUGCUGGGAAGGAAUAGAGAGACUUUUCUUCUUGUUAAGGGCAGCAGAGGGAAGAAUUCAGCUCAUGACUGUACACGGGCAUCUGGCUUCAGAAAUAGCAGAUCGUGGGGUCCACUCCUUCAGAAUGGUUUCAAAUGUGAGAUCCUUUGGCAAAGGGAAAGGAAAACAGGGGAAGGAAACUGAAAACAAUAGGUCAGUAGCCUUUGCAGUAUGGAGUUCAGUGGGAUGAGAAAUACAGACAGCUGCCCCUCCCAGGAUAAAACCAUAGCUACAGGCUUGGGUAAGAAGUAGCUUCUUUCUUCUUGGUUGCAUAAGACUUGGGAUGGAACUUCUGUAACAUAGAGCUGAGGGGUGGGGCCAUAAUAGAGUGGGUCCUGGGUCAGAUGCUACAGUCUUAUGAAGAUGUAAUGCAUAUUUUUUUAGCAAAUGUUUUUCCAUUUGCUGGAUGCCCUUUGGACAAUUUCCAGGGAUUUUAAAUAGAUAUUACUAUUGUUUAUAUUUUUCUCUUGUUACACAUUCUUUUCUUAGGGACAGUCAGCUAUGCUUCUUACUCCACCGUUCUGGAAGCUGGCCCUUGUCUUUCAUUGUUUUUAAUUAAAUAAAUGUGUUUGUAGCCCUU